rnacentral:rRNA from 1 species
UACAGAGGGGGCGAGCGUUGUUCGGAAUUACUGGGCGUAAAGGGCGCGUAGGCGGCCUGCUAAGUCGAACGUGAAAUCCCCAGGCUCAACCUGGGAACUGCGUCCGAUACUGGAUGGCUUGAAUCCGGGAGAGGGAUGCAGAAUUCCAGGUGUAGCGGUGAAAUGCGUAGAUAUCUGGAGGAAUACCGGUGGCGAAGGCGGCAUCCUGGACCGGCAUUGACGCUGAGGAGCGAAAGCCAGGGGAGCAAACGGG